UUGUUUCACAACAGAUGGUGAUUAAAUAUUUGUUUUAUUCCAUUAAUGAACUCAUUGUUUUAUUACAAACCAGAUAAAUACAAAUAAUUGUCUUUCAAGUUUUAAAGUCCCUAAGGCACGAGUCCAUCCUAUGUGUAGCAUGCAUCAACAAUCAUCACAUAGUAGCACCUGAAACAUAUGUGAAAAUAGGUGCGGAAUUACAAGAAACGGAGUUAGAAAUAGCUAAUUCUUCACUAAAACUGCUGAUUGUAUUGAUUAACACUCGAUUACACGUAGUUCAUCACACCGGCAGCACUUCGGCAUGGAAUACAAGACAAUUGAUCUGGUUUCGCUCAUAUGAAUACCUAUAUAUAGUUGCUGUGGUUUCGCUUAUAAGUACCUGUCCACAUAAGCGAAACCCCUAUGUUCACAUAAGCGAAACCUCUAGCCUAUGACCAUAUGAGCGAAACCUGCUCACUAAUUACAUACAUUUUCAGUUUUCUUGUAAAACGCGCCCUAAACAAUACAAUACAAUGUAAGACUCGAUACAAGACGAAGUCGACAGAUGUAGUGUACCAACAGACUCCCCCUCAGAUGUUGACGAGUUGACUAUCGAGUCACGACAUUACUGUUUCUUCACUUCUUCAGUCUUGAUCAGUCUCUAAUGCAACUUAAUUCAACAUAAAGGUUGCAUUAAAAGAUAUAAUGUAACCUUUUCACAAAAAAGUUACAAAAUAUUAUUAAAAUUGCAACUUUUUUAUUUAAAUGUUGCAUAUUUUACUAAAAAUUGCAACUUUUUCUUUAAAGGUUGCAUGUUUUAUUGAAAUUUGUAACUUUUGUUAUAAAAGUUGCGUUGUUAAAACUUGAAUGCAAUUCUAGUGUUAAAAGGUUGCAUAAUUCAAUUAGUGACAAAAAAAAAAAAAAAAAAAAACGCAGAAUAUUUUUAUAGUAAAUAGUAAAGAACUUUUAUUGUUAUUUUGGUGAUGUUUGAUACUCAUAUAAUAUUUUUUUAAUAAAAUAAAUGGUAGGAUAAAUUUUUCUCGGAAUGUAAAAAAAACUUUUCGAUCUUUUUAGAAAAAUAACCUGUCGAUCCAAUGAAAUUUAAAAAAAUAUAUUUUUGUAGGAAAAUUGAUACACUAAUAGUAAUGGAGAAAAUUGUCAUUAUUGUCUAUUUUUUAAAUAUUUUCUAUCCGUUAUAUCUUAAGGUCGGUAUGCACGGUAGGAUGAGCAAAGGUACCGAAUUUAUCGAACAGGGUACAUUUUCGGUACCGACUUUUGACAUUUCAGGCACCGGUUCGGUACCGAUCCGGUAUGGUAUUUACUGGUUCGGUACCGGUGUUUACUCUUAAAUACCGGUACCGAACCGUACUGGGUAUAUUCGGUACCGGUACCUACUUUUGGGAAUUUCGAUACCGGUACCGAGCUCAUCCCUUGCACGGAUAAAAUGAGUAUAUAUAAACAUUAUUAUAUAAUGUUAUUAUUAUCAAAUAAUUAUUAAUUUAUAAGAAAAACUAAUUAUGUUUUUUCUAUUUUAAGUCGAACUUUUUCCUCUAAAGUUCCUCUAAAUAUAUCUACGAUUGGAAUUUUGGCUCCAUAACCCCAAAGUGAAGUGCCGCCCAAAUAUCCAUUGGAAUUUGCCCUAAUUUACACACUUCAGAGAAUAGGCGAAUCGAUCUGCACACCAUGAAGCCGCCGGCGAUUCGAUCCGCAGACUGUGAAUCAGCGUCGCUUUUCUUCUGGUUCAGGGGGACAAAUUUAAUUUUCUGAAGCAUAAAAGAGAAAGAAGGUGUUAGCUUCAAGAACCAUGUCAUACAGAUAUGUAAAACUAGCAGAGGAAAGAGCUAAAGAAUGAUAAAAUGCAAGCCUAAGGAUAAUGAUCAACUUCCUGAAGUUUUGUGAGUUGCACUGCAAGUAUAUACCGACUUUCUCAUGAGUGUUUUGGAAAUACUGAAUGCAAUACUGAUAAACGUGUUGUCAAGGAACCGAAAGAAUAAUAUUUAAGGAACAAAUGAAGGGCUAUCUUCAAAAGAUGGAAGUGCUUCCGUGGAUUAAUUUGUGGCUGUGACAAACAAAGAGCAUACGGACACCGUUGACUUUAUGGUAGAGGCGUUAUUAACAAAUCGAUAAAAAAAGUGGAUGGUUGUGAUAUACCUACCAUACAUGAUUCCAAGGGACUUAUGGAAUCACUCAAAGCUAGUGUCGAAGUUAAAACAAUUAUUUGCAUGAAAUGCGAAAAGAUAUUAAAGAGGAUCGUGAAAGGAAAAAACGCCGAGCAUGAAAUGCGAAAAGAUAUUAAAGAGGAUCGUGAAAGGAAAAAACGCCAAGUUAGAAGCCACAUGGAAAUAUAAUUGACAACCCAUAAGAAAACACUCAAGCAACUACCUUUUAGAGGUGGAGAGUUUUGAACAUGUGUAGAAGGUUUUUGUUACUCUUAAUUAAUUGUAAUUGACAACUUUGUGUUGAAUACAUUAUUUUGAGUUUGAACAUAUAUGUUAAAGUACAUAAAGAUUCUU
rnacentral:lncRNA from 1 species